rnacentral:rRNA from 1 species
AUUGAACGCUGGCGGCAGGCCUAACACAUGCAAGUCGAACGAGUGGCGGACGGGUGAGUAAUGUCUGGGAAACUGCCUGAUGGAGGGGGAUAACUACUGGAAACGGUAGCUAAUACCGCAUACCAUCAGAUGUGCCCAGAUGGGAUUAGCUAGUGGGUGGGGUAACGGAUCAACAAGGCGAAGAUCCCUAGCUGGUCUGAGAGGAGGAACAGCCACACUGGAACUGAGACCCGGUCCAGACUCCCACGGGAGGCAGACGUGGGGAAUAUUGCACAAUGUGCGCAAGCCUGAUGCAGCCAUGCCGCGUGUAUGAAGAAGGCCUUCGGGUUGUAAAGUACUUUCAGCGGGGAGGCGUUACCCGCAGAAGAAGCACCGGCUAACUCCGUGCCAGCAGCCGCGGUAAUUC